CCUACGGGGGGCAGCAGUGGGGAAUAUUGGGCAAUGGGCGCAAGCCUGACCCAGCAAUGCCGCGUGAAGGAAGAAGGCCCUCGGGUUGUAAACUUCUUUUAUCAGGGACGAAGGAUGUGACGGUACCUGAUGAAUAAGCUCCGGCUAACUACGUGCCAGCAGCCGCGGUAAUACGUAGGGAGCAAGCGUUAUCCGGAUUUACUGGGUGUAAAGGGCGCGUAGGCGGGAUGGCAAGUCAGAUGUGAAAUCCAGGGGCUCAACCCCUGAACUGCAUUUGAAACUGUCGUUCUUGAGUACUGGAGAGGUUGACGGAAUUCCUAGUGUAGCGGUGAAAUGCGUAGAUAUUAGGAGGAACACCAGUGGCGAAGGCGGUCAACUGGACAGCAACUGACGCUGAGGCGCGAAAGCGUGGGGAGCAAACAGGAUUAGAUA
rnacentral:rRNA from 1 species